rnacentral:rRNA from 1 species
UACGUAGGGUGCAAGCGUUGUCCGGAAUUAUUGGGCGUAAAGAGCUCGUAGGCGGUUUGUCGCGUCGGAUGUGAAAGCCCGGGGCUUAACCCCGGGUCUGCAUUCGAUACGGGCAGACUAGAGUUCGGUAGGGGAGAUCGGAAUUCCUGGUGUAGCGGUGGAAAUGACGCAGAUAUCAGGAGGAACACCGGUGGCGAAGGCGGAUCUCUGGGCCGAUACUGACGCUGAGGAGCGAAAGCGUGGGGAGCGAACAGG